rnacentral:rRNA from 1 species
AUACGUAGGUGGCAAGCGUUGUCCGGAAUUACUGGGCGUAAAGGGCGUGUAGGCGGGGCGGCAAGUCAGGUGUGAAAUCCCGGGGCUUAACUCCGGAGCUGCAUCUGAAACUGCUGUUCUUGAGUGCUGGAGAGGAAAGUGGAAUUCCCAGUGUAGCGGUGAAAUGCGUAGAGAUUGGGAGGAACACCAGUGGCGAAGGCGGCUUUCUGGACAGUAACUGACGCUGAGGCGCGAAAGCGUGGGGAGCAAACAGGAUUAGAUACCCUGGUAGUCCACGCCGUAAACGAUGGAUACUAGGUGUAGGAGGUAUCGACCCCUUCUGUGCCGGAGUUAACACAAUAAGUAUCCCGCCUGGGGAGUACGGCCGCAAGGCUGAA